rnacentral:lncRNA from 1 species
UUCCAAAAAUCUCUAUCCCCUUUAAGUACAAGUCUUUCUCUAGAGGUCUCCACUCACCAUGUCUGUGUGAACCUUUAGCUGAACUUUCCUUCAAAGGUGAUUCUGCAAUGUCUUUCCCUUUAUCACUGGCAUAGUCCUUGGCCUUAUUUCCACUUAUAGGUAGAGGAGGAGGACGUUCAUCUGGAUUUUGUUUAUGUAAAACAUGCACUGCAUUAGUGGUCACCAUCUGGCUUUCAUCUUCAUUGGAUUCAACCAUUUCCACAUCCUGACCAACUGGGUUUGGGUAAAGGUCCAGAGAAUUAGGUGCUGCCAACUUCAGUUUCUUACUGGAAGAACUUAGUAAAUCUGUAAGCAAUUCCAAUAAACUGGUAACGCAAGGAAAAAACUAGAGAAAACAAUAGAUCCUCAUACCUGUUUUUUCCAAAAAUCUCUAUCCCCUUUAAGUACAAGUCUUUCUCUAGAGGUCUCCACUCACCAUGUCUGUGUGAACCUUUAGCUGAACUUUCCUUCAAAGGUGAUUCUGCAAUGUCUUUCCCUUUAUCACUGGCAUAGUCCUUGGCCUUAUUUCCACUUAUAGGUAGAGGAGGAGGACGUUCAUCUGGAUUUUGUUUAUGUAAAACAUGCACUGCAUUAGUGGUCACCAUCUGGCUUUCAUCUUCAUUGGAUUCAACCAUUU